GCACUCAAGGAUCAGUUGAACAGCAGGUUUAUUUGGAAAAGUGCACUUUUCCAAGUAAACAUGCUGUUCAACUGAUCCUUGAGUGC